UGGGCAAGAAUACGAGGUGUGUGAGCGAAGAAGAUGCCAUGGCUGGGCAUUUUUUCCGUACCUUCGUGAGCCAUCGCUAGGACAAGGAUGGCGAGGAGGACGAGAGCCGCCAUGGGGGAGGAAGAACGAAGGGGAUUGGGGGAUUGGAUCAAGCAAAACGCGAUCUCUUCUUCCUCGUCUUCGCAGUGCGUGCGUGACGUGAGAGCGAGACAGGGACGGAAAUGAAAAGAGAACGAUGGGCUUCACGAGAGAUGAGCCGCAGCGCCAAAGAAUCCCUUCUUUUGCUACCUGGACGCUCGCUCUCUCUCUCUCUCUCGCUCUCGCUCACUCGCGGUCGCGGCUCGAGAGCUCUUUCUUCCUCCACUCUGGCGGCCAAACCAGGUAAUCUCGUUUUCGUCUUCCGUCUCACUUUGAAUCACACCUCUCAGUCAAACUAUGCUUGCGCCCGCAAGAGCUGAUCAGAGAGCAAAGCUAGCUACAAGGAAACAAGCGGAAGGACGGGCCGGGGUUAGCUGAAGCUGGAUAGAAACAACGGGAAAGACAAGGGACAACGAGCAAGAAGGCAAGUUCCUCUUUUUUAUCUUUUCUUUUGCGUGGGCUUCUCUGCUUGUGUUUUUCGUUGCGCUUUUUAUUCCUCUAUUUGCUUUUGUUUGCACUCUUUGGUCUUGCGACUUUCGAUUGAAUUGUCCGCGCCAGUAGCAGCAGCAGUCGCUGCAGUAUCAAUCGACCGUCAAGCAGUUUUUACCGCCGUACUAUGGCGACGACAGCUCAAGGUCUGCGCAGGCAAAUGAAUUGGAGAGACGCAAUCCAUGAGCAUCAGCGAGGGCCAAGCGAAAAGCCAGCAACAGAUAUCUUAUAAUGUUGGUGGUGCUUGGCGAGACUGUCUCCUCUCCCCCUAAAGCUGCAAGCCAGGAUCGAGGAGUCUAAAAGAUGAAAGGAAAGGGAAAGGUAUGAGAAGGGCCACAUUAGCUACAUGCGCGCACACGGUGGGUCGGACUGUUUCUCAGAUCUUUGCAUGGGGUGUUCUUUCUGUAAAGUGUUUGGUCAAACAGGGCAAGGACAGGACAAAGAAGAAGAUCCAAAAGUUUGAAGAGACUGGAGUAAGACGAAACCCAGAGCAUUCAAUGAAACAAGUUGGAAUGGUGAAUGGUAAAGUAGGAAACACAAUAGUUGAAUUCCUGAAAUAUUCAAUAAACUUCAUGUUUAAUAUUAUUAUUAUUUAAAUUUUGAUUAAUGAAAAUAUAAAUUGUAACA